GCAUCCCUACGGGGGGCAGCAGUGAGGAAUAUUGGUCAAUGGGCGGGAGCCUGAACCAGCCAAGUCGCGUGAGGGACGACGGUCCUAUGGAUUGUAUACCUCUUUUGUCGGAGAACAAAACCCGGGACGUGUCCCGGACUGCGUGUAUCCGAAGAAAAAGCAUCGGCUAACUCCGUGCCAGCAGCCGCGGUAAUACGGAGGAUGCGAGCGUUAUCCGGAUUUAUUGGGUUUAAAGGGUGCGUAGGCGGUCCGUUAAGUCAGCGGUAAAAUUGCGGGGCUCAACCCCGUCGAGCCGUUGAAACUGG
rnacentral:rRNA from 1 species